rnacentral:rRNA from 1 species
ACGCACGCUGGCGGCGUGCUUAACACCUGCAAGUCGAACGGUGAAGCGCCUUCCUUUUUGGUGGGUGUGGAUGAGUGGCGAACGGGUGAGUAACACGUGAGUAACCUGCCCCCUUCUUCUGGAUAACCGCAUGAAAGUGUGGCUAAUACGGGAUAUUCUGGGUCUGUCGCAUGAUGGGUCUGGGAAAGAUAUUGUUUCGGUGGGGGAUGGGCUCGCGGCCUAUCAGCUUGUUGGUGGGGUGAUGGCCUACCAAGGCGGUGACGGGUAGCCGGCCUGAGAGGGUGGACGGUCACACUGGGACUGAGACACGGCCCAGACUCCUACGGGAGGCAGCAGUGGGGAAUAUUGCACAAUGGGCGCAAGCCUGAUGCAGCGACGCCGCGUGAGGGAUGGAGGCCGUCGGGUUGUGAACCUCUUUCGCCAGUGAAGCAGGCCUGCCUCGUUUGUGGGUGGGUUGACGGGAGCUGGAUAAGAAGCGCCGGCUAACUACGU